rnacentral:rRNA from 1 species
UACGUAGGGUGCAAGCGUUAUCCGGAAUUAUUGGGCGUAAAGAGCUUGUAGGCGGUUUGUCGCGUCUGCCGUGAAAAUCCGGGGCUCAACCCUGGGCCUGCUUCCGAUACGGGCAGACUAGAGGUAUGCAGGGGAGAAUGGAAUUCCUGGUGUAGCGGUGAAAUGCGCAGAUAUCAGGAGGAACACCGGUGGCGAAGGCGGUUCUCUGGGCAUUACCUGACGCUGAGGAGCGAAAGUGUGGGGAGCGAACAGG